AUGGCCCGCACCAAGCAGACGGCGAGGAAGUCCACCGGCGGCAAGGCGCCGAGGAAGCAGCUGGCGACCAAGGCCGCCCGCAAGUCCGCCCCGGCCACCGGCGGCGUGAAGAAGCCCCACCGCUUAGCUCCGACCGUCGCGCUCGGUGAGAUCCGCAAGUACCAGAAGAGCACGGAGCUGCUCAUCCGCAAGCUCCCCUUCCAGCGCCUCGUCCGGGAGAUCGCCCAGGACUUCAAGACCGACCUCCGCUUCCAGUCCUCCGCCGUCUCCGCCCUGCAGGAGGCCGCCGAGGCCUACCUCGUGGGCCUCUUCGAGGACACCAACCUCUGCGCCAUCCACGCCAAGCGCGUCACCAUCAUGCCCAAGGACAUCCAGCUCGCCCGCCGCAUCCGUGGCGAGAGGGCCUAG
rnacentral:rRNA from 1 species